UGAUCUAUUUGUGGGAGACAAUUGCAGACUGAAACACACAAAACUGUUAUCAAGGUGACAAAGCUGCAAUCUCAGAAAAAUUGAAAUGUCAUUGCCAUUUGGAAAAUUGGAAUGCCUGAAGCUAUCCAGAAGGCCUGUACUUACAGAAUUGCCAAACUACUGUGAAGACAAGACUAAACAGUAACAAACAUCUACAUUUGUAUUAUUACUGUAAUAGCUGAGUUGCUUGCUGGUUGAAAAGUAAGGGACAACAAUAGUUUGUUCCAAUAAAGAUGAUCUAACUGCC